rnacentral:rRNA from 1 species
UACAGAGGUCUCAAGCGUUGUUCGGAUUCAUUGGGCGUAAAGGGUGCGUAGGCGGCGCGGUAAGUCGGGGGUGAAAUCUCGGAGCUUAACUCCGAAACUGCAUUCGAUACUACCGUGCUUGAGGACUGGAGAGGAGACUGGAAUUUACGGUGUAGCGGUGGAAUGCGCAGAUAUCAGGAGGAACACCGGUGGCGAAGGCGGGAUCCUGGGCCAGUACUGACGCUGAGGAGCGAAAGCGUGGGGAGCGAACAGG